rnacentral:rRNA from 1 species
CCUACGGGCGGCAGCAGUGGGGAAUAUUGCACAAUGGGGGAAACCCUGAUGCAGCGACGCAGCGUGAGUGAAGAAGUAUCUCGGUACGUAAAGCUCUAUCAGCAGGAAAGAAAAUGGCGGUACCUGACUAAGAAGCCCCGGCUAACUACGUGCCAGCAGCCGCGGUACUAAGUAGGGGGCAAGCGUUAUCCGGAUGUACUGGGUGUAAAGGGAGCGUAGACGGCGCGGCAAGUCCGGAGUGAAAGCCCAUGGCUUAACCAUGGUACUGCUCUGGAAACUGUAGAGCUUGAGUGCGGGAGAGGCAGGCGGAAUUCGUAGUGUAGCGGUGAAAUGCGUAGAUAUUAGGAGGAACACCGGCGGCGAAGGCGGCCUGCUGGACCGUAACUGACGUUGAGGCUCGAAAGCGUGGGGAGCAAACAGGAUUAGAUACCCGAGUAGUC